CGGUGAGCAUGACCACCUUCCAAUGUUAGAUUAAAGUUUUCAAAGGGGUUUGGUUCCACCCCAUUUUUUUUUGUCAACUUCCAAUUUUUAAUUUUGGUUUUCCAGAUGGAUUUUUUUUUACCCCGUUCUUUCGGGUCUUGUCUUGGAAUGAGUACAAUUUAAAUCCCUUAACGAGGAACAAUUGGAGGGCAAGUCUGGUGCCAGCAGCCGCGGUAAUUCCAGCUCCAAUAGCGUAUAUUAAAGUUGUUGCAGUUAAAAAGCUCGUAGUUGAAUUUCGGGGUUCCACCGUUGGUCGGGCUAUUGUCUGUACUGGCGUGUGGAAUUUCUACCUUCUGGGGAACUAUCAUGUUAUUAAUUUAGCGUGGUAGGAAACCAGAACCUUUACCUUGAAAAAAUUAGAGUGUUCAAAGCAGGCUUAUGUCUGAAUACAUUAGCAUGGAAUAAUAAAAUAGGACGGUGGUCCUGUUUUGUUGGUUUCUGAAUCACCGUAAUGAUUAAUAGGGAUAGUUGGGGGCAUUAGUAUUCAAUUGUCAGAGGUGAAAAUUCUUGGAUUUAUUGAAGACUAACUACUGCGAAAGCAUUUGCCAAGGAUGUUUUCCUUUAAUCGAGAACGAAAGGUU
rnacentral:rRNA from 1 species